UACGAAGGGGGCUAGCGUUGCUCGGAAUCACUGGGCGUAAAGCGCACGUAGGCGGCUUCUUAAGUCAGGGGUGAAAUCCUGGAGCUCAACUCCAGAACUGCCUUUGAUACUGAGAAGCUUGAGUCCGGGAGAGGUGAGUGGAACUGCGAGUGUAGAGGUGAAAUUCGUAGAUAUUCGCAAGAACACCAGUGGCGAAGGCGGCUGUCUGGUCCGGUUCUGACGCUGAGGCGCGAAAGCGUGGGUAGCAAACAGG
rnacentral:rRNA from 1 species